rnacentral:rRNA from 1 species
GUCUAUGGCCAUGCUACCCUGAACAAGCCCAAUCCCAUUUGAUCUUGGAAACUCAGCAGAGUCGAGCCUGGUUUGUACUUGGAUGGGAGACCACCUAGGAAGACCAGGUACUGUAGGCA